UACGUAGGGAGCAAGCGUUGUCCGGAAUCAUUGGGCGUAAAGCGCGCGUAGGUGGCCCAGUAAGUCCGUUCUGAAAGUCACAGGCUCAACCUGUGAAAGCGGAUGGAUACUGCUGGGCUAGAGUCCGGAAGAGGCGAGUGGAAUUCCUGGUGUAGCGGUGGAAUGCGCAGAUAUCAGGAGGAACACCAACGGCGAAGGCAGCUCGCUGGGACGGUACUGACACUAAGGCGCGAAAGCGUGGGUAGCAAACAGG
rnacentral:rRNA from 1 species